UCAACAUUAUACAGAAAAGUCCGGCAGAACAAUAAUAAGCCUCUGCCGCCAGCUGUCUUAUAAAGGAUUCGCCAUAUUUUCUUUAGCUACUUGGUCAUGUUCCACUCAUCCCCCGAUCCGGGGGGGGGGGCCAUCACCGGGUCACCAUCUGGAAAAGACCCGGGCCGGGACAGUAACGGCGAACCACCUACUAUUACUACUACUACAGGUUCCAGUCGCUACGAGGCUAGAUAUUUAUCCCAAGAGAGCAUUGAACGUUUAAGAUACUGAAAUGGAGUAGGACCGUCAGUCUGGGGAAACAGUCUGCAUAACUCACUCCUGCCGUGUCCCAGCGAGGUAAGGUGACUCAGAAGUGAACAUUAACCGUUAUUCACUUAAUCAUCGUCUUGCCAGUGUUCUGACAUCACAGUUCAGAUGAACGUCUACACAACAUCCUCCACCAUUUUUCAGCGUGCAAGGACUGUACUUCCCACCUCUAGGACCCUUCUCCAGUACACCUUCCCAUCUCUCAUCACUCACUGUAAGGAGGAAUGGAACAGAGACUGCGAAGCCAGCCAUGUCGACUGGGAAUUUCCUUCCUCCAAUCCAGCCAUCAUACCAGCCGAUAAACCUGCCAUCCUUGAGCACUGGGGUGGACAACCCCGCCUCCGUCAGCAGCCCCACUGGGAACAUAGACACCACUCUGGUGUAGCGCAUCUGAAAACAAAAAUACAUCGAUGAAGACAUUCUUAGUAUUACCCAGGAUAACACAACACAGGCAAGCAGCAUGACUUAUUUCCAUUGUGGUCCUGUACUAGGAUAUGAUCCUUAACAGCUGACUAUUUCUUAGCUACGUAUUUGCAUUGUGAAUAUAAUCAACAUGUCUUAGGAGAAUUGUUACUAUCAACACAGGUGCUUUGAGUUGUGAGCAUUACUGUACCACCGAGCUACUAGUCACGUAUAAAUUUAUGCAGUGGUUCUGAUGGCACAUACACUGUAUGUAGGCAUACACAUGUAGGAAUAUUAUGAUUUUUAAUUAUUUAUCGUAGGCUAACCCAGUAAAGUCAUUGGAACGUCCACAUUUAAACAGGAAAAGACCCGGUUUAUAUACAUAAUCCAGAGGAUUAACGUAACAUUUACCUCUAUAAUUUUGGAAACACUAGAGUUAAAUGUUAUGUUAAACAGGAACCAAUUAUGAAUAAUACGUAUUAGUUGAAGGCUCAUAGAAUGCAAGCAGAGUACUUCUUAGCUGAUGGUUGAUAGUAUGUUAGCAAAAUAUACAUUGUCAUAAGAAAAUCUUGUCUACAGUGAUAGGAAGGCAAACUAGCUAAGCAAGUGAACACUGCCACCACAAGCAAACAAGUAGACACCAUCACCACAAUCAAGUCGACACUUAACAUUAGCUCUAGUCAAGAAGGAUGGGAUCAGUUCUCAGGAAAUGAUGAGCCAGACAAACAUCUGUCUUACUGUUGACACACCAGUGGAAUGAAUACGAGGUAGUAGCAAGUGCUAAAACCACUGGAAUGUUAAAAAAAAAAAUUACGUAAUGACUUCUUGAAAACGCACCACCACGACCAUAGCACUGCUUUUGUAGCUGUAAAUAGGCAAUUACAAAUAGGUUGAAGAGGCAGUCACAGUUCAUCAGAUGGGAAACUAAUACCCCAAUUUCUCCAAUAAAAAUGGUAAAUUGGGGCAUACACAGCUCAAAGCCAAGUCAAACCUUCUACUUCAAAACAACUACCAUGUACAAAAGAACACUCCCACCACUACUUUCAAGUAAAUACCAGCAUACUUCCUCAAAAAUCUGGAUAUCGUAGGUGUUAUCGUCGUCUGCGAAGUACAAGACUCCCUCAGUGGCGUGGGCUCGUAUCCACUCCAUCCCACCAUUCCUGUUGGCCACGCCCUUGGGCCUUGCUAGCUCUUUCUUAAACUCCUGUGGCAUGGGUGCUGAGGGAGGAUGCAGAAGUAAGGGUAUACAUAAGGAGAUGAACAUAAAGUAGUCCCCUCAAGGGAGGUUCCUUGACGCUGGUGAGGGGCUCUUGAUUUAGAGAAUUGGAUAUGUGCUCCGGUUCCCUGAAUUGAGCCUGAAUACCUUAGACAACCCCCCCCCCUCCCCACAGGCGCUGUAUAAUCCUACGGGUUUAGCACUUCCCCCCUUAAUAAUAAUGUACAAAAAGUAGAAGUGUUCUCCAAUAAGUAGAGGUAGGUGGGGGAAGACUUCCUCAGCAGGUAGAAUUAUACUUCCUCAGCAGGUAGAAUUAUACUUACUCAGCAGGUAGAAUUAUACUUACUCAGCAGGUAAGUGUAGGGAAGGUGGAUUCUUUUGAGAAGGUGGAUCACUUGGGGAUUGGUUGUAUUGGUAUCGUCAGCGACGAUCCAGUGAAUGUUGGGCACGUUCACCAGGGUCUGGGCUAGCCUUGUCAGCUCCGGUAUCUGCGGAGAAAGACAAGUCAGCCAGGUAGACAACCAGUUAGCUCGUCUGUCAGUCAGGCAACCGAGUAGUCAGCUAGCUCGCCUGUCAUCCAGAGAACCAAGUAGUCAGCUAGCUCGCCUGUCAUCCAGAGAACAAAGUAGUCAGCUAGCUCGCCUGUCAGUCAGGCAACCGAGUAGUCAGCUAGCUCGCCUGUCAUCCAGAGAACCAAGUAGUCAGCUAGCUCGCCUGUCAUCCAGAGAACAAAGUAGUCAGCUAGCUCGUCUGUCAGUCAGGCAACCGAGUAGUCAGCUAGCUCGCCUGUCAUCCAGAGAACCAAGUAGUCAGCUAACUCGCCUGUCAUCCAGAGAACCAAGUAGUCAGCUAGCUCGCCUGUCAUCCAGUCAACCAGUUAGUCGGCGCGUCAUGCAGUGCUGCAGGUGUAAAUUCGUGUAAAAACAAAUGUACUCUCUAUUUACAUUUCCCGAUUAAAGUCAACAUGGUUUUUCAAAAUAUAUUUAUAUUUUACGUAUUUUCCUUACAAGCGUGUAACAUUAAACAAGCUUGUUGAAACGACCAGCUGCAGCCUCUUUACUCCACUCCCGGUGUGUUUGCACACACUCCCGGUGUGUUUGAACACACUCCCGGUGUGUCUGCACACACUCCCGGUGUGUCUGCACACACUCCCGGUGUGUCUGCACACACUCCCGGUGUGUCUGCACACACUCCCGGUGUGUCUGCACACACUCCCGGUGUGUCUGCACACACUCCCGGUGUGUCUGCACACACUCCCGGUGUGUCUGCACACACUCCCGGUGUGUGUGCACACACUCCCGGUGUGUGUGCACACACUCCCGGUGUGUCUGCACACACUCCCGGUGUGUGUGUACACACUCCCAGUUGUCAGUCCUCAGCAGACUAACACUAGUCGUCAUAAAAAUCACACUGUUCUCAAGGGAACAAAGUGCAGAAACAAGAUAAGUGACGUUGACAAGAAUGUUAUCAGUCGUUGUUGGUACAGUACUUAGUACAAGAUUUGCGCAACGGGAAGCAGGUUUGCAGUGAGUAAACGUGUGCGUAUUUCUCACCUGUUCCAGCCUCUUGUAGGUGGGGGUGACGAUGUAGAUGGUGGGUAGGCUGUUAGGACGCUUCUUGAGCCGAAACACCGUAUCCAGUAACUGAUUCAGUCGACCUUUGAUGGGGUAAAACAAUUAGCACACAGUUUGGUGCAGUGUGAUGCCAUACACUUUACACAGUUGAAGUAUAAAAUAGCCUACCCCGUGGCAGAUGCUGCAAAUGUAUGGAAUAGGUAGUAGGCUACUAAAAAUUUAGUUAAUCAAAUUGAGGCUCAGUUUGGAAUAUGUAAGAGGGAGGACUAAUUACCAGUGAUAGAACUUAGGAUGCGUAUUGUCACUAUGGUAUUAAACAUUUUUAUUGAUGAGGGUGUAAAUGAAUGCUGUGGUGUUGAGAAGAUGUGUGGGAUUAAAAGAUGUCGGAUCUGAAGCAUCGCGUUUUAGAGGCUGUAGCAUCCAGCUGGCUUAUCAGUGUUAGGAGUGAAUGGAAACUGGUUUUUAAUGGACGUGUUACUGGAGUAUGAGCAAGGUAGUAUUUAUGAAGAGAUUCAGGGAAACCGGCUAGCCGGACUUGUGCACUGGAAGUGGGAAGGGCAGUGCCUGCACUCUGAAGGAAGGGUGGGGAUAUUAGUCGGAGGAUAAUCUGAAUUGUGACGUCAACACACUUCUAGUAAGAAAAACAGUUGAAUGAAUCAUGGUGAGGUGUUUUCUUUGGGUGGCCGUGCAUUGGCGGGAGGCGACAGUUGACAUGAUUAUGUACGUAUCAGUGUGGCGUGUAUGUAUACAAAGAGGAACUGGGUGGCAUUCGAACCCGUGCCACUGUGUAUGCGAAUCCAACACUAGUACUGGGCCAUGUUAGUUUCAAUAGGAAGACUGACAACGUGUCUUAUAUAGGUGGUAUCUAUGGGCGUUAAUAUUUUCUCCCUUGAGGGGGGGGGGCGAAUGCUCAGGAAUAUUGAUUAGACAUGUUAAGAGUCACCAGAGGUGCACAUGUAAAGGGUAGGUAGAUCAGACAAUCGUGAAACAACAUACAAUAUAUCAGUUCAGCUGUCAUAUGUCAUGUUACUAUUUUUUUAAUAGGGGGGAAAAACUCCUGUACACUUUUUAACCUAUUAUGGUGACUAAUAUACCUUCUUGGGAAAUAGUUAAAAUUGCAAGUGCACACACUAGUUCUAACUUUGGCAGGAAACGAUAACAUGGUAUAUCCUUCUCAUUCCGUGAUUUUUUUUUUUAAAUUACAGAAGUUUUAAGAUAACAUAGACCAGUUGGACACCUGCGGUAGAUUUGAUUACGGUGUAUCCCAGUAAAUUUCUUAAAUUCCUCCUUACAUUUUUCACACGACUCUGCUUAAUAUUUCUACACGAAUGGUCAAUUUUUGUUGAUACCCGGCAUCUCUGAAACCUAUGCUAUCCCACACCUCGAUCUACUUACCUGGAGGGUAUUCCAGGGGGUCAGUGCCCCCGCGGCCCGGUCCAUGACCAGGCCUCCCGGUGGAUCAGGACCUGAUCAACCAGGUUGUUACUGUUGGCUGCACGUAGUCCAACAUACGAAUCACAGCCCGGCUGAUCCGGUAGUGACUUUAGGAAUCUGUCCAGCUCCCUCUUGAAGGCAGCCAGGGGUCUAUUGGUAAUUCGCCUAAUGCCUAAUGGGAUGCUGUUGAACAGUCUUGGGCUCCAGACACUUAGUGUUUUCUUUUAAUGUACUAAUGACGCCCCUACUUUUCAUUGGGAGUAUGUUGCACCGCCUGCCCAGUCUUUUGCUUUCGUAAGGAGUGAUUUGUGUGUGCAGAUUAGGGACAAGUCCCCUCUAGGAUUUUCCUGGUGUAGAUUAUGAGGUAUAUCUCUCGCCUGCGCUCCAGUGAGUCUUAUUGGGACUUUAGUAGCUCACUCAUUUCUUUGCUGUCAUCCGUGUAGGUCCCAUCUCAUCUAAGCAGGGGUCUAACACUGCAUGUUGUUUUAGCCUUAGAUUUGGCAUAAGAAAAGAUUUUUUUCCAAUUUCAAGUGCUUCCAAGUUUUCCCAGUAGUUAAGGUGUUUGACGGAACUUAUAUGUGCAGUAAAGGUUCUCUGUACAGUCUCUAGAUCUGCGAUUUCACCUGCUUUGAUUGGAGAUGUUAAUGUACAGCAGUACGUAUACCAGCUUCGAGAGAAGUGAUUUAAAAAGGAUCGUCAUUGGCAUGGCAUCUCGUUGUUUUGAACGUUCUCAUUAUCCAUCCUAUCAUUUUCCUCGCAGAUGUGAUAGUGGCACUGUUGUGAUCCUUUAAUGUGAUAUCCUCAGACAUUACCACUCCCAGGUCCUUCACAUUACUUCUAUGUGAUUAGAGUUGUAGUGUACUCUACAACUCUAGUUUUCCAUAAAGGAGUAGUUGGAAUUUCUUCUUUAACAUCAUGUUUUCAGUUGCCCAUUGGAAAACUGGUUUAUAUCUUCUUGUAGAUUUGCCGUAUCCUAGAAUCGUCUGCAAAGGAUAGCACGGUGCUGUGGUUUACAUCUCUGAUAGGAUGAGUAACAGGAUGAGUAACCUAUGCUAUCUCGUAUCUCGGUAACUUGUGGUACCCCCACACACCUGUAACUUACGCUACUCCAUGGCUCUGUAAUCAGUUCUACCUCUCACUUCUGUAACCUGUUACCCCACACCUCUGUAACCUAUGCUAUCCCCAUACCUCUAACCUGUGCUGCCCCCACACCUCUGUAACCUGUGCUGCCCCCACACCUCUGUAACCUGUGCUGUCUCCACAUCUCUGUAACCUGUGAUGCCCCCACCUCUGUAACCUGUGCUGCCCCCACACGUCUGUAACCUUUGUUACCCCACUAUGCAGUAAUAAAAACUCUUAGACAUCUUCAGCGUUUUGUGAAUCUCCCCUAUUUAUUCUGAC